rnacentral:lncRNA from 1 species
AGACAGAGCUCUGGGUAGAGUCUGGGUAGAGGGACCUGUGGUGGGAGAAAGAGAGAAGAUCAGAGUGGAGGGGAGAAGCAGGGUUGGGGCCUUGAAGGUACUGCUGAGCAUGUGGGUCCUUAUCCUUACCCUGCAUUGCCCGCAGGCCUGACCUUUGCUUCAUUCUUCAUGGCUGCCAAGUGAGAGUGUGGCCCCUGCAGAUGGUUGGAUCAUCCAUCCAGUUCUUUGCUUCCUCUAGCUGAUAUCCUUCUUUGCUGUACUAUAUGGGAAAAGCAAGAAAUAUUUGACACCAAAAUUGCUUCCUUUGUGUGGCCCCGUAUUGCCCUGUAUAGAAGCAUUUCGUCUUCACAACAACUCUAUGAGCAGUGUGAAGAUGGACUAAUACAAAGAGGAACUAGGGGAGCUUGGAGGAACCAGAGACUCAAUCAGGGAUUCAAGUGAAGUCUCUGUUGCAAACCCUUGAGCAGGUGAGAACCCCUGGACUCUUGCAGGGGAUGUGGGAGGAGCUGUACAUACAGACAGUGCUGUCCAGCCAAUGUGGGUUCAAACCCUGCAUCUGUCACUGGCUAUGUGACCUUGAUCAAGUUCCUUAAGGUCUCCAGGUUUGUUUUCUUAUCUGUAAGAUGAGAAUCCUCUUCUGCAAACCAUGUCUGUUUAAAAUAUGUGCUUAUUUUGAAAGUGAUGUAGCAACAUUUUCUCUAGUUAAUGUUCUUUCUCCCUCAUAAUUUUAAAACAUUUAUUCAUGACUAUAAUGUUAAGUCUGUGACUUUAUUUUUGCUAAAUGUCCAUCUCAGAGAAGAAUAUGACUUUAUAUAGCGAAGUAUUUUUUAAAAAAUAGCCUUAGUAAUGCAUAUUUGCAAUAAAAAUAUUUGACAAUCCUAAUACCUUCAGGCUUGUCAUUGGAAUGAAAUGUGAUAAUUAAGUAAAACCCAUUCUUGCUACAAAGAUUUAAGUGGUGGCCACUUUUUUUCCCCCCGAGAUGGAGUCUUGCUCUGUCACCCAGACUGGAGUGCAGUGGUGUGAUCUCAGGUCACUGCAACCUCUGCCUCCCAGGUUCAAGCAAUUUUCCCUGCCUCAGCCUCCCAAGUAGUUGGGAUUACAGGCACCCGCCACCACACCCGGCUAAUUUUUAUAUUUUUAGUAGAGAUACGGUUUCACCAUGUUGACCAGGCUGUUCUUGAACUCCUGACCUCGUGAUCUGCCUGCCUCGGCCUCCCAAAGUGCUGGGAUUACAGGCAUGAGCCACUGCACCCGGCCGGUGGCCACUAUUUAUUAGGAAGCUUGUUAUCUUCUACCACUGCACCUGCUGAUGAUUGCUCUCACAGGCACUUAACCACUGGCUAAUAAAAUGAAAGUUCCUUAAACCUUACGCACAGGAAGCCACUUAGGCUGCAGUUGCAGCCCUGUGCCAGGGCAGUGCUUGGCCAGUGACCUAUAACUCCCUGAGGCUCCUUGUGAGGGAGCAACUCCUGAAGUCACAUGGCGAAGAUGCUCACAGGACAUGAUUCUUAGGAUGAUCCCACCUGUCGAGACCACAGGCUGUAACUCACUGUCACAAGUUAGUGAUGAACGCGGAACCUUAAUGAAACCGCCAGCGACAGCUGUGCCAUACUGCAAGUCACCACUAGGGGGAAGCAGAAUACAAGCAUCCGGGUAAGAACCAACGAAGCGCUGAGGAACGUGGCCCAGGAAGCCAAAUGGGGAUGGGAGGGGAGAAGGAUCCUAGGCGCACCCUCCCUGUUCACCCCACCCACCGGGCAGACCUGCACACUCCUGGUCUUGCUCUCAAACCAUCUGAUUCCUCUGUUUCUCUGUUCUCUGGUCCUGGUACAGCACAUUAUAUCUUCCGUAUGGCAAAGGCCAGUGGUUCUCUAACAUGGCUGUAUGUUUAAAUCACCUGGGGAGUUCUGUAAACGCUCUACAUCCUGGCCUUAUCUCAAUUAAAUCUGAAUCUCCAGUGUUUGGAAGCAGGGAUCAGUGCUUUUUAUAUUUAUUUAUUUACUUGCUUAUUUAUUUUUGAGACAGAGUCUCACUCUGUUGUCCAGGCUGGAGUGCAGUGGUGCGAUCUUGGCUCACUGCAACCUCAGCUCCCUGGGCUCAAGCGAUUCUCAUGCCUCAGCCUCCCAAGUAGCUGGGACUACAGGCAUGCACCACCAUGUCCAGCUAUUUUUUUUUUCUAUUUUAGUUGAUAUGGUGUUUUGCCAUGUUGGCCAGGCUGGUCUUGAACUUCUGACUCAAGUGAUCUGCCAGCCUCAGCCUCCCAAAGUGCUGGAAUUAUAGGCAUGAGCCACUGUGCCUGGCCUCCAGAGCUUUUUAAAACACAACAGGUGAUUCCAAUUUGCAGCCAAUUUUGAGAACCACUGUUUUAGGCAAAAGAUCUCAUUUCUUUUCACAUGAAAGCUGGCUUUCAUUGUUAGAGGACUCCUCCAAGAAGCCUCCCUAACGAACCACACGUUUUCCUCCUCCUCCUCCAUCUGUCCACGGGCCUGUCUGCAGCUGAUGCCAGUACUUAUCAUGGCUUAAGAUACAUAUGGGUUACCUGAGGGUGUUGCAGAUUCAGAUUCGUUCAGUCUGGGGUGAGGGGUUGAGACGCUGCCUCUCUAAGUCCCAGGUGCUGCUGGUCCACAGACCAUCCACAGUAGGGUUGGCAGGACAUCAACCUGUGUUUCCGCAUGUGCACCUUUGCAGUUGUUCUCUGUUUUGCAUUCCUUUUCUGCUUCUGUAUUAACCAUGUUUCUCCUUUCUGUAAACCUGAUGCUUUAACAUCUGCCCCGCGUGCAUCUGCAGGACACACCUUGCUCUGUGCAACCCAAUAAUAUGUCUCCCUCACUGUCCCCCUCCCCCUGGAAGGAGUCCUCCGGGUGAUAUGCUUUUCAAAUGAAAACCAACCCAGAGCUCGCAUCCCAACCAAUUCCCUUAUCUGGCUCUCACACUCCAGGCCACUAUCCCCCUGCCCUAAUCACCCAGGACCAGGUAUCUGACAAAUAGGAACAGCCUGUAUGCCCCAGAGCCUGCUGAAAUGAUUUAAACUAGCCAGUCCUGAGCUAGCUAACCCUGCCUUGCCCACUCUUUCCUGUGGAAACCAUAAUAAGGGCUCUGGCCACGUUCUCUUCUCCCUCUGCCUCUUGACCAGCCCUCGUGCUGCCCCGGGUGUCCCUGCAUGGCGUGGCGUGCCCACUUCUCUUAGAUCUGAGAGUAAGAAACUCUCUCUUCAGUGAGAGUCAUCAUCUGAUCUAUUGGCCUCACCAAAGCUGAAUAAAAUUAAAACCUAUUAGAGCAACUCCCCUGCUAGGAGGAGAGGCGUGGCUGGUUCCCAACUUGUCUGCAUCCCGCCUCUCCUCCCAGUCUUGCUUGGGUCCCUGCUAUGCUGCUCAUGGUAUGAACACAAGACCCUGUACACACACAGAAAAGAGCACAAUCAGUGACUGUUGAAUGAAUAAGUGAACAAAUGUAGGGAGAAAAAUUCUGAACUUGGAGACCUGGCUCUGCCACUAACAGCUGUGAGAGAUUGUGAAGGUGCCCCCGAGACUCAGUGACUUCAUCUGUCCUGUUAUUUCAUAGUGAGGCCACCUGAGCAAUAUGUGUUAAAGCCCCUUUUCAUCCACAUGGUAGCAUCCUCCUUUCUCUCUCCAUCUCCUACUUGUCACUGGUGUUCAGGGUUCCAGCCUUGCCCUUCACACACUGCCUGGGAGGUCCCAUCUGUUUCUGAGUCUUUGAAUCUUCACCCACAGCUGCUAUGGUCUGAAUAUCUGUGUCCCUCCAAAAUUCACACGUUGAAAUCCAAAUGCCCAAGGUGAUGGCGUUGGGAGGUGGGGCCUUCGGGAGGUGAUUAGAUCUUGAGGGUGGAGCCCCCAUUAAUGGGAUUAGUGCCCUUAUACAGAAGGCUCCGGAGAGCUGCCUCACUUCUGCCACCACGUGAGGACACAGAGAGAAGACUCACCUGUGAAUCAGAAAGCAGCCCUCACCGGACACCAAAUCCAUCAGCACCUUGACCUUGGACUUACUUCCCACCCUCCAGAACCGUGGGAAAUACAUUUCUGUUGUCUAUGAGUUACCCGAUCUAAGGCAUUUUGUUAUAGCAGCCUGAACAGACUAAGACACCAGCUCAGGCUCCCCUCUUGAGCUCCACACACGUCUAACCAAAUGCCGACAAUCCAUCUCUAUCCUGUCAACCUGCCUGUAAGUCAUAUUUGACACAUUCAAAAUCGAGUUUAUCAUGCCUUUGCGCCUCCCAAACCAGCUCCUCCCCUCAUAUGUCCUAUCACCACAAGUGCCCAGAAGGGGAGUGGCACACGGAAGGAAGCAAUCUGGGCGAUGGGGGUGGAAUUAGAUGGCAGAGAUUUGUGACAAGCAUAGAAGACCACCCAGCACGCUCAGGGGCAGCAUCAAUCAUAAGUCACAUCACAGCAGAGCCAUGGUGCUCAUCACAGCAGAGCCAUGGUGCUCAAGUCCCGACAGGGAGAGAGGGUGAGGGAGAGAGAGAGAGAGAGGGAAAGAGGGAGAGAGAGGGACAGAGAGAGACAGAGAGAGAGAGAGAGAUGCAGGGACCCUCGACCCAUGCAGGUGGGCUUGGGAUCAUGAGAGCACAUGAGGAUAGACCCCAGGCUGGCUUCACUGAGACGCCACCCAGAGAAAGGCAGCUGGAGGAUGAGGUGGGAAUGGAGCCCUUGCCACCUUCCUGGAGCUCCAAGCCAGUCACCCUCACCAGGGGCCCAGAGGCCAUUGGGGCAAACAGCACUGAAACUCUUUCAAACCCUGCUGGCCACUUCCCUCCCUUGGGGAGCAGCAGAGAAGCCCACUGGUGGCCAGUGCUCAGUCAGCACAGCUGAGGUGGGCUGGCAAAACUCCUGGCUCUCUCUGUCUCCGAGAAUUGGCUGGGGCAUCUGAUGGUGGUUGCAGAGCCUCAUCUCCCCUCUCUUGAACUUAGCGGAGAUCAGGCUCAGCAGAUCUGCCCAGGUCCCCAGGAGGCCGGGCUGGUUACAGUCUCUGGGGACCAGGUGCUCCCCUUUUGAACCAAGGUUAUUUCUCCCAACCAGGGAGCUUCCAUAAUCACAGGGAUGUCCCCUGACCCCAUCCCUACAAAUAUGUAGAGUGCAAGGGAGCAGGCAGCAGGGGGCAGGGGUGGGCUCUUAAUCCCUGGCAGGGAGCUGCUGCCGUCUGAUCCUCUGAUCCGAGUUGUGGGACAGCACUGGGUGUGUGCUCCUACUUCCUGGCUUAUAGGUUUCCUCCUCUGUGUGGCACCAGCAUGUGUGUCCUUGACUCCUUAGCAGAGAGGAGCCAAUUCACUCUGUCUGUGAAGCCAAAACACAAGAGACCUGCAAGUUUUGAACCCUCCUCUCCACCAAGAUGUGAGACGUAUACUGGCAGAUCCCUGAGAUCCCAUUAGGCUCAGGCCCUCCACCCACCGCCUCUUCUGGGCUCAAGCCUCCCUCUGGCACCUGCAGCACAGAACAGCCUCCUCCAGCCUGGCUCCACGCCUGCCCCACCCCCAUCUUCCUCCACCCUACCCCCUGGAAUGAGCUUCCCAAAAGGCAGAUCUUACCAGGUCUCUCUCCUCCUUGGAGCACUUAUCAAUCUCUACUUGCCUUUUCCAUUCUCUUCUCCCCAUCCGUUUCUACAUAUGGGUUUCCUCCCCAGUUUCACUGAGACAGGGCCAUUGCCCUUGCAGGCCUCCCUGCUGUUUCUGAAUACACAGCUUCUUCUUGGAUUUGUUCUCUUACUCUCUUCCCUGCUAGAAGCCGUGGCUAACCUGUUCUUAUCUUCCCUGACUGAGGUGGGCCUAUUUCUCCGCUCUGUGCUCAUAGCAGCCUCCUCUAACCUCCAUUUGAGACUUUGUUUUAUUGCAGGGGUCCCCAACCCCUGGGCCAUGGGCUGGUACCAGUCUGUGGCCUGUUAGGAACUAGGCCGUACAGCAGGAGGUGAGUGGCAGGCAGGUGAGUGAAGCUUCAUCUGUAUCUGCAGCUGCUCCCCAUGGCUCACAUCACCACCUGAGCUCCGCCUCCUGUCAGAUCAGCUGGGCAUUAGAUUCUCAUAGGAGCACGAACCCUAUUGCAAACUGCACAUACGAGGGAUCUGGGUUCCCUCCUCCUUAUCAGAAUCUAAUGCCUGAUGAUCUGUCACUCUUGAUGAUCUGUCACUGUCUCCCAUCACCCCCAGAUGGGACCGUCUAGUUUCAGUAAAACAAGCUCAGGGCUCCCACUGAUUCUACGUUAUGGUGAGUUGUAUAAUUAUUUCAUUAUAUAUUGCAAUGUAAUCAUAAUACAAAUAACCUGCACAAUAAAUAUAAUGCAUUUGAAUCAUCCUGAAACUACCCUGCGACCCCCGUCCGUGGAAAAACUGUCUUCCACGAAACCGGUCCCUGGUGCCAAAAAGGUUGGGGACCGCUGUUCUAUUGCAUUACAUUCUAAUACUUUAUUUUUUAUUUCUGUUUCCUUCACUGUGGGCGAGCCCCUUCAGGGCAGGGGUUUGUUCCCUCCGAAGCUUAACAGCCUGGCGGCAGAGCUGGCCUUUGAAGGUUUUCUGUGAAAUGAGUUCACCGGUGAUUCUCCAGAUGUGGUCCCUGAACCAGCAGCAUAGCAGGGCCCAGGAACCUGUGAGAAAUGCAAUUCUCAGUCCCGCCCUGACCUGCCGAGUCAGAGCUCUGGGGACGGCACCCGGUCCUCAGCCCUCGGUUCCCGUAGCCCUUCUGGGUGAUUCUCAUGCAUGCUCUCAUUAGAGGUCAGCUGAAUAAGGCACGUGAGAGCCUAAUGAAAUAUGAUGUGAAUGGGAUUUGCUAUUACUACUCAGCCUAGACUGAAGGAUCCUGGGGUGGUGAGCGGCCGAGGGCGGAGCUGUUCCCUGGCCCCCCAUCCUCAUCACUUGGCAUGCAGGCUGCCUGAGGCACCCGAGGCGCAUCUCUUCCUCAGCCCUUGUUAGACCAUGUUAUUUCUUUUUUAAUUUUAAUUUUUAGUUCUGGGGUACAUGUGCAGGAUGUGUAGGUUUGUUACACAGGUAAAUGUGUGCCAUGGUGGUUUGUUGCAUCUAUUAACCCAUCACCUAGGUCUUAAGCUCAGCAUGCAUUAGCUAUUUUUCCUAGUGCUCUCAAUUGUGUUGUUAGUAAUACACACGGAAGUUCUAGGGAGGAACCCAAUGCCCAAAGAGAGACCCUUGAUUCUCUCUCUCUCUCCUUUUUUUUUUUUUUUUUUUUGAGAUAGGUUUUCACUCUGUCACCCAGCUUGAAGUGCUGUGGUACGAUCGUAGCUCACUGCAGCCUCAAACUCCUGGGCUUAAACAAUCCUUCUACCUCAGCCUGUUGAGUAGCUGGGACCACAGGUGCAUGCCACCACACCCAACUAAUUUUUAAAUUAUUUGUACUGACAAGUCUCCCUGUGUUGCCCAGGCUGCUCUUGACCUCCUGGGCUCAAACAAUCAUCCUGCCUCAGCCUCCCAAAGUGCGGGGAUUACAGGUGUGAGCCACUGCACCAGGACAGAGAGCACCUGAUUCUAGGAGCCAUGGUUGGGACAUCCAAGUGGAACUCUGUGGUCAUAGAACCGGGUUUCUCAUCCCACACUCUCAAAUUAAAAACAUUUUGCUACGGGAAUCAGCUCCCUUUUGCCUUAGAGUUUCUGUUUUACCUGUAGUGACAAGUAUCCCACUCUAUUUUUUUUUUUUUUUUUGAGACGGAGUCUCGCUCUGUUGCCCAGGCUGGAGUGCAGUGGUGUGAUCUUGGCUCACUGCAACCUCUGCCUCCUGGGUUUAAGCAAUUCUCCUGCCUUAGCUUCCCAAGUACCUGGGAUUACAGGCACACACUACCACACCCGGCUAAUUUUGUAUUUUAAGUAGAGCCAUGUUGGACACACUGGUCUCAAACUCCUGACCUCAAGUGAUCUACCCACCUCGGCCUCCCAAAGUGCUGGAAUUACAGAUGUGAGCCACUGUGUCUGGCCUAUCGCACUAUAUUUUAAAAUUUGGUCUAAAGGAGUUGAUGAUGAGUUUCUUUUAGCCUUUUAUUUUUUGUCUGUUGGUUUUUGAAUGUAUUUGUUAUCAGUAUCUGGAGUUUGAAAAAGAAAGAACCUCAUUUUAUGAGCUCUGUAGUGGGAGGGCUGCUUGCUAUCACUGGAUUUUCUCCCAUGGCCUAGUACUACCAUAUCUGCUUCUAGAGUGUGCUCAGCAAAUAGUGGUUUUUGAUUACUCAAAGCAAAACUGAGAAGCCAUUUAACAGGCUGGGAAAUAAUUUCUUCAGCACUGAAGAAUAUAUCCAUAGGCUGGGCACAGUGGCUGACACCUGUAGUCCCAACACUUUGAGAGGCUGAGGCUGGAGGAUCGCUUGACUGCAGGAGUUCGAGACCAGCCUGGGCAAUAAAGCAGACUCUAUCUCUACCAAAAAAAAAAAAAAAAAAAAAAAUAGCUGAGUGUGGUGGCAUGCGCCUUGUAGUCCCAGCUACUUGGGAGGCUGAGGCGGGAAGACUGAGGCUGCAGUGAGCCAUGAUGAUUGAGCCCCAGAGGCUGAGGCUGCAGUGAGCUGUGAUGGCGCCCCUGCACUCCAGGCUGGUGACAAGAGUGAGACUCUGUCUCUGUUUAAAAGAGAAAAAAAAGGUUAGGUGCAGUGGCUCAUGCCUGUAAUCCCAACACUUUGGGAGGCCAAUGAGGGUGGAUCACCUGAUGUCAGGAGUUCGAGGCCAGCCUGGCCAACAUGGUGAAACCCUGUCUUUACUAAAAAUACAAAAUUAGCCAGGUGUGGUGGUGAGCGACUGUAAUCCCAGCUAUUUAGGAGGCUGAGGCAGGAGAAUCACUUGAACCCUGGAGGUGGAGGUUGCAGUGAGCGAAGAUCACACCACUGCCCUCCAGCCUGGGCGACAGAGCAAGACUCCAUCUCAAAAAAAAAAAAAAAAAUAUAUAUAUAUAUGUGUGUGUGUGUGUGUGUGUGUAUAUGUGUGUGUGUAUAUAUACAUGUGUGUGUAUGUUAUAUAUAUACACACACACACACAUAUAUAUCCAUAAGUCAGAGCUGAAGUUCUGGUGAGCACUUCUUGGAGUUCUGUGACAAGCCCCUCCACUGGUGGUCUAACUCCUGCCUUCCUCGCUUGAGUCAUCUCGAGACAGUCACUCCAACAUGCCUUACUCUUUCAGUUCCUUGAAUUCCCUGAACUCCCGUUGUUCUGGACCUUUGGAUCUGUCUUUCCCCUGCCUGGAAAUUCUCCUCCCCUUUUCCUUCAGGUCACAGUGAAAUCAUUUGGCUCAGAGUGGCUUCUAAUCCUCUGUGAGGCUAGGACUUUACCCUUUUCCGUGCUCAUGCUCUCGGGCUUUCCUGUAACCUCUCCUUUCUCGUCUCCUUUCCCCCUCUAGCCUGGAAGAGCAGGAACUGUGUCUCCUUCACUUUCCCCAGCACCUAUCUCAGAGCCGGGCCCGCAGUAGGGGCUCAUGCAUUUGUUGGCUGGCGUUAACGUGAACCAGCACGUCGGCUGUGGAUGAAUAACUUUCCAGGUCCCAAAAUUGUCCACUUGCUUCUCUUUCACCGUUGGGCUGAGAACGUAGCUACUAAUAAACCCGGAGUGGGAGGGGGUAUCAGUAACAGAGACAAGUGUGUGAUUGAAAUGGAAGACAGCUGGAGAGAAGAGAACAGAAAUAGGCAGGACGUGCACGGCCAGCAGGAAGUUGCUGUGAUUCCCGCAAAGCAUGUCUUUUCAUUCGUGAAGAGGGGUCCCUAAGAUGAGAGUUCCAUGGAGACUUUCCCUAAGGGCUCACUAUGCCUUAUUCUCUGAUAUGUUGAGCCUUCGGGGGUUGGCUGUAAAUAGAGACUGAACUUUGACUUAGAAGAAAAAGGGGAGAGAAGAACAUGUUGUAUCUCUUUGUGUAAAUGGUUACUACUCGCUCCCCAAACAAGCUACUUUAAUAGGGGCAUCACACAAAUUAUAGAAUACAGGUCUCUCAUCCAGCCAGCCAUGAUGGUGCGCACCUAUGGUUCCAGCUGCUUGGAAGGCUGAGGUGGGAGGUCCUUUGAGCCCAGGAGUUCAAGGUUCAAGUCCAGCCUAGUUAACAUAGCAAGACUCUCUAAAACAAAACAACAAAACAAAAACAAUCUAAUCUUAGGAUUAGAAAGGACAAGGACACCAGAUGUCAUCAAGUCCCAUCCUUUGACCUCUGUAGGAAUUCCCUGUGCAUAUUUCUGGUAAGAAUUCACUAAUCCACUAGUUGUCAGUUCUCCACUUCACUAACUUAUGGGGCAGCCUAGUUCCAUAUUUGCAGGGUUCUAGUUGUUGAAAAAGUCCAUGUAGCCCAGUACAUUGUAUGUAGUGGUGGUUUAUUGAAUGAGAUACAUGAACACAGACAACAUUUAUAAUCGAGACUUUAGAAAUUAUUUUCAAGUACUGUUGUAUUGUUUUAAAAAUAGAAUACGGUGAGAAGAUUGUCUUAAAUGUUUGACAUAGUGUCUCCAGCUUUCAGAUCAUACCAGAUACAUAUUCAAUUUAUCACCUGGGCAAGUAAAAAAUUAAAAAGACAAUAAAGCCUGUCUUGUUAUAUACUUAGAGCCAAUUACUCAAUAUUUACCAAAUAGCCCACCAAAUGUCUCAUAAGCAUUUUUUGAGUGUGUUCAGUCUUGAGAUUGAACUUUCAGAACGGGCCUCCCUUGCUCAUCCUGGGCUCAUGAUGAUCCGCUUCAGCAUUUACACAAGGAGAGCAAGGGAACAGCACAGAUCAAUGGAAAGGAGACAGCAGAUUAUUUUCCAGUUCUAUCCCUGCUACUAACUAGUGGUGAGAUCUUAGGUAAGUUGCUAGACACUGCUGGAUCUUAGUUUCCUCCUCUGUAGACUACGGUGAUUAAACCAGGUGGCCUUCAAGGUUCAGUACCACUGUAACCCUCUGUGGCUCUAAAACUUUACAUUUUCCUCCUAAAGACAAAAGCUUCAUGAGUGAAUUUAACUCUCAUCCCAUUGAAUAACUGAUCAGUAGCAACAAUGUGCUCCUACUAAAUAUAGAAGGUGAAGUUAAAUAUGGAAUAUAGCUGUCCACAUCCCCUGAAUUCGCAGAAACUUAGGUUAAUAGUUGGCUACAUCACUCAGAUCAUAAUCUCUCCAUGGCACAUCAUUUCUGCCUUCAUAGUUGGCUAAAAUACCUGGAUGUCAGCUGAAUCUAGACUUUUUUAAUGAUUCUAUUUUUAAACUACAGUCAUGAGACCACAUAAUCCUAGUGGGGUAAAUGCCAGAGGAAGAAAAAAAAAAAAAAGAAACAGAAAACAAAACCAAAAAACUGUAAAGAAAUCUGAAGUGGUUUUCCAUAAUUCUCUUUUUAGAAUAAUUUUUUCUCUGAUAUGAUAUUUUCUGAUAGUAAGGUAUGAUUAUUAUGAAAUCAUAAUGUAUUUAGUAGAAAAAUAAAUUACAUUAUUUCAUUAGGAGCUAAGGUUUUCAGUGCAAGAAAAAUAUAAAUAUCAAAUCAAAGAAGUUAAAUAAAAACCUUCUAUCCUAAGUUUGAAUUGGAAAUAUUAAUAAGAACACAUGAUGUGUUUUAUGGUAAAAUACACUAUUCUUAGCUCUGUCUGUUGAAAAGGCCUAGAUACCUUGACUAAGAGUAGCUAAGUGUGUCCUUAGCACCCAGGCCGUUUUCUUUCUUCAUUUUUUUUUUUGAGACAGGGUCUCACUCUGUCACCCAGGGUGGAGUGCAGUGGCGUGAUCUUGGCUCACUGAAACCUCCACCUCUGGGGUUCAAAUGAUCCUCCCACCUCAACCUCCCAAGUAGCUGGGAUUACAAGUGUAUGCCACCAUACCUGGCUAAUUUUUGUAUUUUUAGUAGAGAUGGGGUUUCACCAUGUUAGCCAGGCUGGCCUCAAACUCGUGACCUCAAGCAAUCUGCCCACCUCAGCCUCCCAAAGUGUUGGGAUUAAAGGCAUGAGCCACAUAUCUGGCCUGGCCUAAUGCACUCUAAAUACCAUUUCUGGUUAAAGUGAACAGGGUUCUUUGGAGAAAUGGUCGAUUCAACAUCAGGGAUAAGUUUGGAACAUCUUGUCAUAUCAGCCAGCAAAGAAACUGUCAAAGACGGUAAAAGCAUGCCAAAAAGACUUAGGAACCAGAGCCUAUUGGCCAGAGGUAAGACAAUUACCAAAACAAACAAACAAACAAACAAACAAACAAAAACAGGAAGAAUCCAGAAUCUAAUCAGGACCUAACUACUAACUACAAACUUAUAGGAAAUACACUCUAGGAUAGUAAAUUUUGUGUGUCAACUUGACUGGGCCAUGGUGUGCCCAGAUAUUUGGUCAGACAUUAUUCUGGAUGUUUCUGUGAGGGCGUUUUUAGAUGAGAUUAAUAUUUAAAUUGGUAGACUAAGUAAAGCAGAUUCCUCCCUUUUUGGAUCAUUGUAGACCUCAUCCUACAGUUGAAGGCCUGAAUAGAACAAAAAGGUUGACCCACCCUAACUAAGAGAGAAUUCUUCCCAUCUGACAGCCUUCCAGAGGGAGCAUCAACGUUUUUCCUGUCUUUGAACCAGAACUGAAACAUCAGCUCUUCCUGAGUUUUGAGCCUGCUGGCCUGUGGACUGAACCACACCAUCAGCUCUGCUGUUUCUCAGUUUUUCAGAUUACACUCUCUUGGGGCUCCAGGUGGUUGGCUGCAGAUCUUGGGACCUGUUUGCCUCCAUAAUUAUGUGACCCAAUUCUUUGUAAUAAAUCCUUCUUUCUCUCUCUUUCUUCUAUUGAUUCUGUUUCUCUGGAGAAACUUGGCUAAGCCACACCUCCACAGGGAUAAAAUCAACAAAAAGCAGAGUAUAGGACAUUUUAUAGGCCAACAGAAAGUAUUACUCAUCAACAAAUAAAUUGCCCCCCCCAAAAAAAACAAUAGAGGGAGGGGUAAUUUAUAGAUUAAAAGAUAUUUAAAAGGCAUAUUCACCAAAUGCAAUGGAAGAGCCUUAGUUUGGAUUCCUAUUUGAACAAACCAAGUUUUAAAAAAAGUAUGAGACUAUCAGGGAUAUUUGGAACAUUUCCUGGAUACUUGAUGAUGUUAUGGAAAUAUUGUUGAUUUUUUUUGGAUGCAAUGACAUUUACAGGGCUAUGCUUUUAAAAGUCCUUAAAUUUUAGAGAUAUAUACUGGAAUAUUUAUGAAUAAAAUAAUUUCAGUAUCUGGAAUCUGCUUCAAAAUAAUUCAUCAAGAGUAGGAGUAUGGGUUAAAAGUAGAGGGGGUGGCUGGGCGCGGUGGCUCACACCUGUAAUCCCAGCACUUUGGGAGGCUGAGGUGGGCAGAUCAUGAAGUCAGGAGAUCAAAACCAUCCUGGCUAACAUGGUGAAACCCCAUCUCUGCUAAAAAUACAAAAAAAAAAAACGGGCAUGGUGGCAGGCGCCUGUAGUCCUAGCUACUCGGGAGGCUGAGGCAGGAGAAUGGCAUGAACCAAGGAGAUGGAGCUUGCAGUGAGCCGAGAUCAUGCCACUGCACUCCAGCCUGGGAGACAGAGCGAGACUCUGUCUCAAAAAAAAAAAAAAAAAAGUAGAGGGGGUAUAGAGGAAACAAAACUGGUCAUGUGUUGAUAAUUGUUGAAGAAUACAAGAUCAGAAUAUGGGGGAUUAUUAUACUAUUUUCUCUACUUUUGUACAUUAUUUCUAUACUAAAAUUUUUACAAGUAAAUGCUUUAUUUUUUUUGCCUACCUUGACGUUAAACUUAUAUUUUUAAGGCAUCAAUGACAAGUUAUUCCUUUCUUGUCUAUUACAGAUAUAUUUCCACUUGCCUCCUAAGCUGUAUGAUUUUUUUUUCAUUUGCUUCCUAAACUAUAUGAUUUCAGUUCUCCUUUAUCUCAUGAGGAGGGUUCCCAUUUACUUUGUCAUAUAUAUUUACAUGUAGUGAUUUGUUAAAUUAUUAUUUCAAAAUUAUUACUGAAAUGCACAUUCUCUGGUUCAAGCUCCAAUGGGUUCUCACUGCCUUGUUAUAAAGCCAGGCAGCCUCACUUUAACAGUCAAAGCCUAUCAUCAUCAAGCUCUACCCAACACAUCAGACAAGCGCUUCCAAAAAAUAGAAGAGAGGAAACACUUCUCAAUCCAUUUUAUGAGACCAAUAUUACCCCAACACCAAAAGCAGACAACAACAUCAAAAAAAAGAAAGAAAAAGAAAACUACAGACUAAUAUCCACAUUUUAGUGAAUAGUAAAAUCCUCAAUAAAGUAAUAGCAAACCGAAUCCAGACACAUAUAAAAAGAAUUUUACACUUGAAAAUGGUUCAAAUGGCAAAUUUUAUGUUAUAUAUAUUUUACCACUAUUUUUAAUAGUAAAGUAAAUAAAUAGUGGUAAAAUAUAUAUAACAUAAAAAUAUUUUUAAAAUAGUAAAAUAAAUAAAUAAACAUAAACAUACACCAUGACUAAAUGGGAUUUAUCUCAGGGAUUCCAGGUUGGUUUAAUAUUAGAAAAUCAAUUAAUGGAAUACAUUAUAUUGAUAGAAUAAACAGAAAAUCACACAAUCAUCUCAGUAGACACAGAAAAUACAUUUGACAAAAUCCAAGUUCAUUAACUCCCAGAUAAACAGCACCUAUUCUAGAGGAUCUCUAAACAUAAUGAGAUGACAGUAGCGAAGAAAGACUCUGAGUAUCGAAGGUGAAUGGAUCUCAGAGAUUGCCACAGGAAAAGAUAUCUUUUUGAAUCUAGUGGAGAAAAUCUUUGUAAAUCUACUUUUAUCAUAAACAAUGCCAGCAUGAAUGACUUAUCCAAGAUCUAAGAGGAGUGUAGAAUGAAAACUCUUAAAUGAUAGGAAGUGUGUGUAUUUCUCCUUUGCCGCUGGCAUGGUUAUUCACCUGCCAGGUGGCCAGUGAGUAUUUUUGUAGUGAAUGGCUUGGAGUUUUAGGGCAAGUACUCUAGACUUAAACUUAACUUUCCUGGCUGUGUGAUUGUAAGCAAAUUACUUAACCUUAAAGUCUCAGCAUUUUGCUUAUUGUUUCAUCUCUAAAGUUAAGAUAAUAAUUCUACUACCAUAAGUGAGGGUUUUAAAACACAGUAUCAGCGGGGCAUGGUACACCUGUGAUAUGGUUUGGCUCUGUGUCCCCACCCAAAUCUCAAGUUGAAUUGUACUGCCAUAAUUCCCACGUGUUGUGGGAGGGACCCAGUGGGAGAUAAUUGAAUCAUGGGGGCGGUUUUCCCCAUACUGUUUUAAUGGUUGUGAAUAGGUCUCACAAGAUCUGAUGGUUUAAUAAGGGGCUUCUACUUUCGCUUCUGCCUCAUUCUCUCUUUCUGCCACCAAAAGGCAAAAGUGUCUUUUGCCUUCUGCCAUGAUUGUGAGGCCUCCCCAGUCACGUAGAACUGUGAGUCCAUUAAAUUUAUUUUCUUCCCAGUCUCAGGUAUGCCUUUAUCAGCAGUGUGAAAAUGGACUAAUACAACCUGUUACCCUAGCACUUUGGGAGGCCAAGGUAGGCGGAUGACUUGAGGUCAGGAGUUUGAGACCAGCCUGGGCAACAUGGUGAAACAUCAUCUCUACAAAAAAUACAAAAAUUAGCCAUGUGCUGCACACCUGUAAUUCCAGCUACUUGGGAGGCUGAGGCGGGAGGAUCACUUGAGCCUGGGAGGCAGAGGUUGCACUGAGCCAAGAUCACGCCACUGCACUCUAGCCUGGGUGACAGAGUGAGGCCCUGUCUCAAAAAAAAAAGCAAAAACACAGUAUCUUUGAAAUGUGCAGCACUGCAGCAUGGCGUCUGGGACAUGUACACCCUUGUCAUCAUGAACAACAUCCAAGACCAUAAAAAUCACGGGUCUCCAGCCAUCCCAUUACUGGGUAUACACCAAAGGAAUAUCAAUCAUGCUGCUAUAAAGACACAUGCACAUGUAUGUUUAUUGCGGCACUACUCACAAUAGCAAAGACUUGGAACCAACCCAAAUGUCCAACAAUCAUAGACUGGAUUAAGAAAGUGUGGCACAUAUACACCAUGGAAUACUAUGCAGCUAUAAAAAAUGAUGAGUUCAUGUCCUUUUUAGGGACAUGGAUGAAGCUGGAAACCAUCAUUCUCAGCAAACUAUCGCAAGGACAAAAAACCAAACACCGCAUGUUCUCACUCAUAGGUGGGAAUUGAACAAUGAGAACACUUGGACAAGGAAGGGGAGCAUCACACACCGGGGCCUGUUGUGGGGUGGGGGAAGGCGGGAGGGAUAGCAUUAGGAGAUAAACCUAAUGUAAAUGACGAGUUAAUGGGUGCAGCACACCAGCAUGGCACAUGUAUACAUAUGUAACAAACCUGCACGUUGUGCACAUGUACCCUAGAACUUAAAAUAUAAUAAAUAUAUAUAUAUAUAUUUAAAAAAAAUCAUGGGUCUGUCUUGGGACUAUUAGGCUUGCCAGUUGUAUACAUAAAUGUUAGAUUAGACAGCUUCAUAAUACCAAGUUAAAAAUGACUAAUGUCCUUGUGUAAUGAAUAAACUUGCUCCAAUAACCUUGAAAAUGAAAGAAAAGUUUGAUCACAGAGUGAAAUUUAAUUCAGACAAUUUCAGCAGCUGUGUAUUUCAGAUAAACCCAUAAAUGGCACAAAGAAAUGAUAGCCCUAGCUGAGUUGUCCAAAAAAGAGGGUUUGGACAACUCUUUUUGUCCAAAGACAAAAAGAGGCAAGUCCUUAGCCUGUGUAUUGGGUCACUGCCAAGAGAUGAUGUUGUCCAUGUGGAGGCAGAGAGUGAACUUCCUUCAGUUCUGACUGACUGCUGUAAAUAGUGUCACAUGGCUAAACCUGUGUAAGUAGUUUCAAAACCUGCUUUAAAGUAUAGUUAAGGCCAGGCUCAGUGGCUCAUGCCUGUAAUUCCAGCACUUUGGGAGCCUGAAGUGGGAGUAUUGCUUGAUUCCAGGAGUUCAAGACCAGCCUGAGCAGCAUGGCGAAAACCCAUCUCUACAAAAAAUACAAAAAUUAGCCAGAUGUGGUGGCACAUGCCUGUAGACCCAGCCACUCAAAAGGCUCAGGUGGGAGGAUCACCUGAGCCCAGGAGGCCCAGGCUACAGUGAGCCAUGAUCAUGCUACUUAACUCCAGUCUGGGUAAAGGAGGGAGACUCUGUCUCAAAAAAAAAAAAAAAAAAAAGGCAAAUAUAUAUAUAUAUAUAUAUAUAUAUAUAUAUAUAUAUAUUAAGCAUUUGCACUUUUGACUCAACUAUAUGUAUAUAUACAGAAAUAUAUAUACAUACAUAUAUAUGUGUAUAGAUAGAUAGAUGAUAGAUAGGUAGAUAGUUAGAUAUUGAUAGUUAAGAGUCAAACUCAAAUGCUCUUAUGGGCAAAACAAUGGAGAGAAAACCUUAAGGAUAUUAUUAUAGAGAGAUGUGGGUCCCUGGUUAGAGGGCUUGCCCUGUCGACAAGGAUUUACAUGAGAAACAUUUCAGAAGCACCAACAUAGCAAACACAAAGGCUCUGAAGGCCUCAGUCCUUGGCAAGCAGCUUACAGCCACUGAUUAGGGGAACAAGGCAUAAAUUAGGCAUUACUCUUUUGUAUCCCUGAGCCCGUAGAUUGUUUUUCUUCUUCCAAUCAGAUAAGAACCUUGCAGAAACUGGACUGUUAGUAGUGGAAUUAUAGCAUCACAGUAUCUUUUGAGUCGUUUAUAUUUUCCCCAUUUCUGGUUGCUUCCAGUUCCCUUUAUAAAUUCUUCCUUUCCUUUUUUCUACCUAAAACUCAGCUGUUAUUUAGAAUGAGGUGGAACUUGGCUACCAUUUCUGUUUUUUGUCUUCUUCUCCAAAUACUUAAUGCCUCAAACAGGUUUGUGUGUUCUGGCCUAAAAACUAACUCCUCUGCCAAGUGGUCCCCAGGCCCUGACUCCUUUUUCCUCACUUCCAGCAUCUGAGAGACUCCCAACCACCCUUGUAAAGGGAACCGUGUGAUAGGGCUGUGCCCACCCUAGGUCCUGCCCACAUGUUUAUUCUGGGCCUCUUGGCUUCCUUUGAUACCCAAGUCUUUGUCCUUAUGAAAGUUAUUUACUUCUGAAAAAUGUUUACAGAAUGAUGACAUGAAGUCAAUAUUGGUUUUAAUAAAUUUAAAUAACUUUCCUUACAGGCAGAAUGAACAAAAUAAGUAAAAGUGGCUAUAAAGAUUAUAAUCUGAAUGUGAUUUAGCAAUGUAGUAUUGAAAGGCAAUGUUUAAAAAGGUAAAAUCAUAAUUCAUACAAAUACAAAUGACCAUCGUUAACUCAUGAGUUAUUUAUUAUUAAUUAUGAUUAAUUAAUGCAGGACUCAGUGAGGUAUUACAGCUGGAUUUUACAGGCUUUACCCAACAAAAUUCUUCAAUAGGGUUUAAGUACUACUGCAUGUAAAGUGUUUAUUUUUAUUUUUGAGACAGGGUCUCACUCUGCCACCCAGGCUGGAGUGCAAUGGCACUGUCAUAACUCACUGCAGCUUUCACCUCCUGGGCUCAAGUGAUCUUCCCACCUCAGCCUCCUGAGGAGCUGGAACUACAGAUGGCACCAUUGUGCUUGGCUAAUUUUUUUUUUUUACUUUUUGUAGACAUGGGGUCUUGCUAUGUUGCCCAGGUUGGUCUUGAACUCCUAGCCUCAAGUGAUCUUCCUGCAUUGGCCUCCCAAAGUAUUAGGAUUACAGGCAUGAGCCACUGUGCAUGAUCAAGUGUUUCAUUAAGAACAAGUUCUGCUGUUCUGUGUCUCACAGAAGUGCACAGGUAAAGCAUUUGCACUUGUGGGAUCAAGUGGUAGCUUUGAUUUAUAAAGCAGAACUGUCAUCAGGAAUUUGGUUGAGGAAGCUGAAGUUGUUUUAUCUCAAAGUUGUUUUCCUGGAAUAAUUCAGUUCUCCAAGGGAACUCUGGGAUUCACAAAUCAUGACGAGGUCAGGAAAACAGUCAUGCUAAUGAAAAUGGGGUCUGGUAUAGGACAGGGGAAAGACCAAUAACUUCUUUCUCUAAAGUAGGAUGCUGGAGACACCACCAUAGAACAAAAAAAGUCAAAUAACUUGAGGACAGGAGUGAACAGGAAUCAAAGGCAAAGGAAAAAGGUAAAGUGACUUUUAGCAUAAAUAAAGGCCUCAAGAAGUAUCUGUUCUUUCCUCUCCUGAAUGACUCCAUUAUGAGGGAUAGAAAUCAAAGAGCAAUAGAAUGGGGUGGAGUAGAAGUACUAGAGUGUUCUAGCUGAGCUCCACUCAAGGUCACACUAUUAUUUAAGAACACAGAAUGCAAGGCUGGGCAUGGUGGCUCACAUCUGUAAUCCCAGCACUUUAGGAGGCUGAGGUGGGAGGAUUGCUUUGGAGUUUGAGACCGGCCUGGGCAACAUAGGGAGACUGUGUCUCUAAAAAAUAAUUUUUUCUUCUUUUGAGACAGAGUCUCGCUGUGUCACCCAGGCUGGAGUGCAGUGAGCUGAUCUCGGCUCACUGCAACCUCCACCUCCCUGAUUCAAGCAAUUCCCCUGCCUCAGCCUCUGGAGUAGCUGGGAUUACAGGUGUGCACCACCCACAUCCAGCUAACUUUUUUGUAUUUUUAGUAGAGAUGGGGUUUCACCAUGUUGGCCAGACUGGUUUUGAACCCCUGACCUCAGGCAAUCCGCCGGCCUCAGCCUCCCAAAAUGCUGAGAUUACAGGUGUGAGCCACCGCACCCAGCUAAAAAUUAAAAUUUUAGCUGAGUGCGGUGGUAUGUGCCUGUAAUCACAGCUACUCCAGAGGAGAGAGGCUCAGGUGGGAGGAUUGCUUGAACCCAGGAGGUUGAGGCUGCAGUGAGCCAUUGAUAUGGUUUGGCUGUGUCCUCACCCAAUAUCUCAUCUUGAAUUGUAAUCCCCAUAAUCCUCGUAAAAUCUUCACAUGUCACGGCAAAGAUCAGGUAGAGAUAAUUGAAUCAUGGGGGUGGUUUUCCCCACGCUGUUCUUGUGGCAUUGAGUGAGUUUUCAUGAGAUCUAAUGGUUUUAUAAGGGGCUCUUUCCUUUUUGCCAUGUGAAGAAGGUGGCUUUUUCGCCUUCUACCAUGAUUGUAAGUUUGCUGAGGCCUUCCCAGCCACAGGAACCAUGAGUCAAUUAAACAUCUUCCCUUUAUAAAUUACCCAGUCUCAGGUAUUUCCUUAUAGCAAUGUGAGAAUGGACUAAUACAGUCAAUUGGUACCACAGAGAGUAUGUUGCUGCUAUAAAGAUACCUGUAAAUGUGGAAGCAACUUUGGAACUGGGUAACAGGCAGAGGUUGGAAGAGUUUGGAAGGUUCAAAAGAAGACAGGAAGAUGUGGAAAAGUUUGAAAGUUUCUAGAGACUUGUUGAAUGACUUUGACCAAAAUACUGAUAGUGAUAUUGACAAUGAAGUCCAGGCUGAGGUGGUCUCAGAUGGAGAUGAGGAUCUUUUUGGGAACUGGAAUAAAGGUGACUCUUGCUGUGCUUUAGCAAAGAGACUGGAAGCACUUUGCCCCUGCCCUAGAGAUCUGUGGAAAUUUGAACUUGAGAGAGAUGAUUUAGGGUAUCUGGCAGAAGAAAUUUCUAAGAAGCAAAGUGUUCAAGAGGUAACUUGGGUGCUCUUGAAAGCAUUCAGUUGUAUGCAUUCACAAAGAGAUGAUUUGGAAUUGUAACUUAUAUUUAAAUGGGAAGCAGAGCAUAAAGUUUAGAAAAUUUGCAGCCUGACAAUGCAAUAUAAAAGAAAACCCCAUUUUCUGGGGAGAAAUUCAAGCAGGCUGGAAAAAUUUGCAUAAGUAAUGAGGAACCAAAUGUUAGUCACCAAGACAAUGGAGAAGAUGUCUCCAGGGCAUGUCAGAGGUCUUCAUGGCUGCCCCUUCCAUCACAGGCCUGGAGGCCUAGGAGGAAAAACUGGUUUCAUGGGCCAGAUCCAGGGUCUUGCUACUUUGUCCAGUCUCAGGACUUGGUGCCCUGCAUCCUAGCCAUGGCUAAAAUGGGCCAAUGUACAGCGCAGACCAUUGUUUCAGAGGGUGCAAGUCCCAAGCCUUGGCAGUUUACACAUUGUGUUGGGCCUUCAGGUGCACAGAAGUUAAUAAUUGAGGUUUGAGAACCUCUGCCUAGAUUUCAGAGGAUGUAUGGAAAUGCCCAGAUGUCCAGGAAGAAGUUUGUGGCAGGGGUGGAGCCCUCAUGGAGAACCUCUGGUAGGGUAGUGUGGAAGGGAAAGGUGGGGUCAGAGCCCCCACACAGAGUCCCUACUAGGGCAUAGCCUAGUGGAGCUGUGAGAAGAGGGCCACUGUCCUCCAGACCCCAUAAUGGUAGAUCUACUGACGGCUUACACCAUGCACCUGGAAAAGUUGCAGACACUCAACGCCAGCCUGUGAAAGCAGCCAGGAGUGGGGUUGUACCCUGCAAUGCCACAGGAACAGAGCUGUCCAAGGCCAUGGGAGACCACCUCUUGCAUCAGUGUGACCUGGAUGUAGGACAUGGCGUCAAAGGAGAUAUUUUGGAGCUCUAAGAUUUAAUGACUGCCCCACUGAAUUUGGACUUGCAUGGGGUCUGUAGCCCCUUUGUUUUGGCCAAUUUCUCCCAUUUGUAACAGGUGUAUUUACCCAGUGCUGUACUCCCAUUGCAUCUCAGAAGUAACUAACUUGCUUUUGAUUUUACAGGCUCAUAGGUGGAAGGUACUUGACUUGUUUCAGAUGAGACUUUGGAUUUGGACUUUUGGGUUAAUACUGGAAUGAGUUAAGAAUUUGGGGGACAAUUGGAAAGGCAUGAUUAUGUUUUGAAAUGUGAGGACAUGAGAUUUGGGAGGGGCUGGGGCAGAAUGAUGUGGUUUGGCUGUGUCCCCACCCAAAAUCUCAUCUUGAAUUGUGAUCCCCAUAAUCCCCAUAAUCCCUGUGUGUCAAGGGAGAGACCAGGUGGAGGUAAUUGAAUCAUGGGAGCAGUUUCCCCCAUGCUCUUCUGGUAAUAGUGAGUUUUCACAAGAUCUGAUAGUUUUAUAAGAGGUUCUUCCCCCUUCACUCAUCACUUCUCCUUCCUGCUGCCUGUGAAGAAGGUGGCUUGCUUCCCCUUCACCUUCCACCAUGACUGUAAGUUUCCUGAGGCCUUUCCAGCCAUGCAGAAGCAUGAGUUGAUUAAACCUCUUUCCUUUAUAAAUUACCCAGUCUCAAGUAUUUCCUUAUAGCAAUGUGAAAAUGAACUAAUACAGCCAUGAUCACCACUGCACUCCAGCCUGGGUCACAGAGCAACACUUUGUCUCAAAAAACAAAACAACAAGAACAACAAAAACACGGAGGCUAUUUCUCUACCUCUUGACUCUGUGUUUGGCCAUAUGACUUGCUUUGACCAAUGGGAUGUCAUAGACAUGAUACAAUCAGAGGUCUACACAACCACUCAUGUAAUUGAGCUUGUUUUGCUGUGUUUUUGCCAUGAAAAGUAUAUGCUCAGGCAAGCCUACUGUUCUAGGAGGUAGACAGGUAGAGCAGAACCAAGUCACCCCAGCCAACCUCAUCUAAGGUCAGCCAACCCCCAUUAGACCCCAGGUGCAUAAGUUGAGUCCAGUUGAGAUCAGCAAAGUCCAGCCUAGAUUAGCUGAACUUCACAGGUACAAGAAAUGAAUGUUCAUUAUUGUUGUUGACCAUGAGGAUCUGUGGUUGUUGGUUACAUAGCAAUUUUCUGACAAUAGCUAACUCACAGGUUGACUUAUUUUCAACAUACCCUAAUGAGAUGACAGAGAUUGCUGCAGAUAUGCCCAGUGCAGUUUUGGCUUCCUAGAGGGUCUUCAAGAGAGUACACCCUAGAAAAAGGGCAGAAACCAUCACUAUAUACCCAGGCUGCCUCUUCUGUUUGGAAGAGAUUCUUAUUUGAAAACCAUUCAUAUGCCAGGCUAGUGGCAUCCCCAGCGAAACUGAGGGUCAGAAAAUAAUAUCUGAUAACUGGGAAGAACUAAGGUCAUUUCUAGUUGCAGAGUAUCUGAAACUCGAGUAGGAAACUAGAGAAUGGAACAAAUAGUGGUAGCAACAGGGAAUCCCCCUACAUCAGUAUGUGAUUCACCAAGUACAAGGUCAAACAGAUAACCACAACUGCUCUGUCAGUUCCCAAGACUGCACAGAACACAGAGCCCCAGCACCUUGCUUUGGUCCUCCCUGAGUUUCUACACACCUGGCUUCUCAACGAAAGAGGAUCCAUUUGCAUACGAAACAAACUCUGCAAUGUAGAAGAUGGCUGUUUGAUCUGAAGCAGAUUUUGUAAGCUUGUGCAAUGGAUGCAAUUUAGUCUGUGAGGCGCGAGGAAAGCUGUGCGGUGGAGACAGCCAGAUGGGCAAUGAGCAGGGAGAGGAGCUAUGAACCUUGUGAGAGAUAAACCUGAACCUUUUCUACACUACAUGUUCACCAGGAGAAAAUCAGAUAAGUAUGAAGUCUUAAAGGAGUAGGGGACAGCAAAAUCCAUGCCUUGCUGUCCCACAGUCCAAACACCACCAAGGGCUCUGGCAUCUAUGCUGUAUUAACUCUGUUUUCUUGUUUUCUGUAUUCUCCAUGCUCUGGCACUUGGGGCCUUGCUGACUUGGGGGAAACUGCUCCUCCAACCCGAGGGCUAGCCAGUUAUUACAGAUAGCAAAUGACCCCCCACAAGCACAUCUUUCAUAAGCAAACCAACCAGCCCAAAGACCACACCCCCAACUACCUCCUUUCCCAAGUGUUUACCCAUUAAGCAGAUAUUUCCCUGCCCUAAUCACCCCAGGGUGGCAACCAGACAACUUGGGGCUCCUACACUCCAAAGCCUGCUGAAAGUAUUAAAAUGAGCCAAUCCUAAACCUGCUUAGUUUUCCCAGCCUGGCUUAUUCCUUCCCACAAAAAUCACAAGGACUCAGGAACAUGGUUUCCCACCCAGCUCCUGAAUGACCGUGGUUCUUCCCUGCGUGGUCUCGCGUGCCAUGCCAUGUCUCCCGCUUCUCGGGAUCGACGAGUAUAAAACUUCUUUCCUGACAGUUAUUUCCAUGUCUGUGCAUCUUACCACACCCGAUUAAAACAAAUCCCCAGUUCAUUUUAAACACAGGUUAGUCUACGUCAUACAAUAAGAUUCUUUUCCUUGACCUUCCCCACCAGCUUUUGAAGCAUGUAACUAGACAUCAUCAUUGUCAACAACAUCAUUAUCAUCGUUAUCCUACAGCUAAGAAAGGGAAACAAGGGCAAAUGCCAGGGAUUCACCUAAGGUCCACAAAACAUGGCCAAGCUGGGACUUAAACACAAAUUUGGGAGCUAGCACCAAAUGCUGGCCAUUUCCCCAAAAAGAUUUGCAGAAGCCCAUAGGAAGUUAGAAAUAUGGUCCCCAGUGAACCUCAGCUGCUUUAUAUAUAAAAUGGAGACUUUAGAGUAUCAGUCUUCUGGAGAACUAUGACAAUGUAUGUGAAAGCACUUCGUAAAACACACUGUAUACAUUCAUUUAAAAACCAGUGACCUUAUGCUACAUGGUUAAAGUCAUCAAUGAAUAACAUGACGGCUAACUUAUGAUUGUGACAGCUGCUCAUGAUGUAAAGCGUUUUACAUUAUCAUUUCAUUUAACCCUGACAACAACCCUAUGAGUUGAUUCGUAUUAUUACCUCCAUUUGCAAAUGAGAAGAUUGAGUCUAUGAGAAGUUAAGUAAUGUGCUCGAGUUUGCAUCGUUAGCUCUAUGUGGAGCUAUGAUUCAAACCCAUAUAUUAAACUGUCUGUCCCAAAGUUUUUCCCUGCCCUCAGAACUAAGAAUACUCAAGUAAACAUUUGCUCUUUUUGGCUGCCCGGCAUACCAAACACACCCUGAGCUUGUAGGAGCCCUGCCUUCCCCUGUGGAGCCCAAAGGGGGCCUUUUCUCCCCAUUCCAAGCUAUUAGAACGUGUGAUUGACUCAAGGAAUAGAUCCACAUCUUUAAUGAGUAACUGACAUCGAAAUGCAAGGUGGUCUUGCCUUAUACAAAAUAGCAAAUCCUAAGUGCAAACUAUAGUCCAAUAUCCUUCACAUCAUGAGCACAAUAUCCUUUACAUCAUGAAAAAUAUGACAAGACACGCAGCAAAGGAGCAAAGGCAUGCUUCUAUCAGGCUUUGCAUUCUAAGAGGCAGCUACUGCAGUCCUGGUUGGAAACAAAUGGGUAGAGCAGAGUAAUAGCCACCUUCCUACAGCAGAGAUGUGACCUUUCAAGGCACUGAAAGAGGUAUUCAUGGACAUAAUCGCCACUCUUUAUGGAGAGCCUUGUGUCUGGUACUACAUAAGACACUUUGCCUGUGUUAUUUGUUGUUUUUUGCUUUUUUGAGACAGGGUCUCACUCUGUCACCCAAGCUGGAGUGAAAUGGCUCAAUCACAGCUCACUGCAGCCUUGACCUCCCUGGCUCAGGUGAUCCUUCCACCUCAGCCUCCUGAGUAGCUGGGACUAUAGGUGCCCACCAUCAUGGCCACCUAAUUUUUGUACUUUUUGUAGAGACGGGGUUUCACCAUGUUGCCCAGGCUGGUCUCAAACUUCUGCGCUCAAGCGAUCCACCUGGCUUGUCUCCCAAAGUGCUAGGAUUACAGGCAUGAGCCACCAUGCCUGGCCAUAUGUGUCUUCUUUAAUCACCAUUUAACAGGAAAGAACACUGAAGCUCAGAGGGAUUAAGACCCUUUAGUAAAUGUUGGGUCCAUCACAUUCCUAAGGCCAAACUCCAGGCAAAGAUUUCUCAAACAUUUAAUGUGCAUAGAAGACACCUGGAGAGCUUAUAAAAUUGCAGAUUCUGAUUCAAUAGGUCUGUAGUGGGGCCUGAGAUUCUGCAUUUCAAGCAAGCUCCCAGGAGAUAUAGAUGCUGCUGGCUGGUGGAUCACAUUUCAAGAAGCAAUACUCUAAAUGUUUGUGCUUUUUAGAUACCAUCAUAAAAAAUAUUCAUGGCAGGCCAGGUGUGGUGGCUCAUGCUUAUAAUCCCAGCACUUUGGGAGGCUGAGACAGGAUUGCUUGAAGCCAGGAGUUUGAGAUAAACUUGGGCAACACAGUGAGAUUCCCGUCUCCACAAAGAGAUGAAAAUUAGCCGGAUGGUUGGCAUGCACCUGUAGUCCCAGCUACUCAGGACGAUGAGAUGGGAGGAUUGCUUAAACCCAGGAGGUCAAGCUGUGAUCACGCCACUGCACCCCAGCCUGGGAGACAGAGCAAGACCCUGUCUCAAAAAGGAAAGAAAAGACCACAAAAACAAAUCCAUGGCUCUUUUACUUGUUCUAAACACUUCCCUAGGACUUUCUCCCUUUUCUAGAACUUGGUGACAUGAGAAGAGAUUCCCUCUGCAAUACAAAUGUCAGAAUUUAACUCAAUGAACAAUUUCUCCUUCCGUUUAUUCAAUCCACACAACUUCGUUGAGUGCCUUCUAAGCCAGACACAGCAGUAGGUACGGGGGAGACCAGGAUAAAUGAGAUAAGGUCCUGGCCCCUAAAAGAGGAACUAUGGAUGAAGACAGGAUGUCUUAAAAAGUUUCUGAUGCUUCCAUGAAAGAACAGCCUGCAGCACACUGCUUUAGGAUCCCCAGUCCAGUCGUCCGCUGCUAUGGCAAUUGAGGUCAUUCUGACCGCUCCAGCGCCAUCUUCACCACUGUAAGGCUAGGGCACUUUUCAGCAUUGUGCCUUCUUCCAACCAUAUUGAUACAGAGACAAUUAUACAGUGGCUCAACCUGUCUAGAUUCUACUGCGAAAGUCCAAUUCACCUACCUUGGGUUAUGACUGUGUCAGUACACAUAUAAUAUUAUGCCUCUGUUUGUUGGAACAGGAACAUGUCGAAUGCUUCUUGGACUUCACCCAGGCUGGAAUGCAGCUGUGCAAUAUCAGCUCACUGCAGUCUCAAUCUCCCCAGUUGAAGCAAUCCUCUCACCUCAGCCUCCCAAGUAGUUGGAACUACAGGCAUGUGCUGCCAUGCUUGGCUAUUUUUAAAUUUUUUUGUAGGGACAAGGUCUCCCUGUGUUGCCCAGGCUGGUCUUGAACUCCUUGGCUCAAGUGACCCUCCUGCUUCAGCCUCCCCAAGUGCUGGGACUAUAAGCAUGAGCCACUACUCCCAGUCUCUGUAUACUUUUAAAUAAUUUUAUAUGCAUUUGGGACAUAGCAUAAAAACUAAUCUGAAAUUAAAUUUAACCUUAAGUUUAUUUAAUGAAACUUAGUUUCAGAAAGCAGCAUCAGGAUCUUAGAGAAUGGAAAGGUAAGUGUUAUCCAAGGGUGCAGCUAUCUGUUAAAAGUAUUAAUAUUGGCCAGGCAUGGUGGCUCACGCCUGUAAUCCCAGCACUUUGGGAAGCUGAGGUGGGUGGAUCACGAGGUCAGGAGUUUGAGACCAGCCUGGCCAACAUAGUGAAACCGCACCUCUACUAAAAAUACAAAAAUUAGCCAGGCAUGGUGGCGCGAGCCUGUAGUCUCAGCUACUUGGGAGGCUGAGGCAGGAGAAUCGCUUGAACCUGGGAGGCGGAGGUUGUGGUGAGUUGGGAUCACGCCACUGCACUCCAGCCUGGGCAACAGAGCGAGACUUUGUCUCAAAAAAAAAAAAGGGUUAAUAUUUUGGAGGCAUCUAACUUACUAAUUUUCCCUCAUUGACAUGGUAAUUUGUUUUCAUUUAUUCAUUAUUGUUGUUUGGUAUUUAUUUACUAUUAUUAUUUAAUCACGGACUAAGGCACUGCUAUGUUGUGACUCUUUGUGUGCCCCUAAAUUUAUAUGUGGAAAUCAUAACCCCCAAAAUAAUGGUAUUAGUAGGUGGAGCCCUUUGGGAGGUGAUUAGGUCAGGAAGGCAGAGCCCUCAUGAAUAGGAUUAGUGCUGUUAUAAAAGAGGCCCCAGAGGCUGGGCAUGGUGGCUCAUGCGUGUAAUCCCAGCAUUUUGGGAGGCUGAGGCAGGCAGAUCACUUGAGGACAGGAUUUUGAGACCAACCUGGACAACCCAGCAAAACUCUGUCUCUAUUAAAAAUACAGAAAUUAGCUGGGUGUGCUGGUGGGUGCCUGUAGUCCCCGCUACUUGGGAGGCAGAAGCAGGAGAAUCGCUUAACCUGGGAGGCAGAGGUUGAGAUUGCACUACUGCACUCCAACCUGGGCAAUAGAACAAGACUCAGUCUCAAAAAAAAAAAUAAUAAUAACAUAAAAAAGAGGCCUCAGAGAGCUGCCUUGCCCCUUCCACCAUGUGAGGAUGCAGUGAGAAGGUGCCGUCUAUGGGCCCUCACCACGCACUGAAUCUGCCAGUGUCUCGAUUUAGGACUUCACAGCCUCCAGAACUAUGAGAAAUAAGUUUCUGAUGUUGGUGAAUUACCCAGUUUAUGGUAUUUUGUUAUUGCAGCCUGAGUGGACUAACACAGGCAUACAUUCCAACUAGCAAGAAGUCUAAAUUGAUGACAUCAGAUGGCUCCCAGCUGUUCCCUAGAUGUGAAUAAACCCCCACAGAAAACCCUCUUUCUCUAGCAAGUGCUAUUCCUUUACCCUCCGCUUUUUUUUUUUUUUUUUUUUUUUGCGAUGGAGUCUUGCUCUGUCACCCAGGCUGGAGUGCAGCUCGAUCUUGGCUCACUGCAACCUCUGCUUCCUGGGUUCAAGUGAUUCUCCUUCCUCAGCCUCCCAAAGAGCGGGGACUACAGGGACCCGCCACCACGCCUGGCUAAUUUUUGUAUUUUCAGUAGAGACAGGAUUUCGCCAAGUUGGUCAGGCUGCUCUUGAACUCCUGACCUCAGGUGAUCCACCUGCCUUGGCCUCCCAAAGUGCUGGGAUUACAGGCGUGAGCCACCGUGCCUGGCCUCUUUACCCCCAUUUUUAUGGCAUGGCCAAAUAAGGGAGUGGGGAGAGAGGUGAAGCAUCUGGAAAGUGAGGAGAGAAGGCUCACACUGCUGCAGACAGCCAGCAUCAUUUGACUGCAGCUUCCAGAUGCCUGUUUGGUUUCAUUCCACUGAAAUCCUGGCACUUUGACUUGGGUCUUGUGGUCAUUUAAGGUCAUUUAAACCUAUCUCAACCCAGAUGCUGAGAAGACUGUAAACAGUCAGGAACACAGGAAGCUGGUCAAGAUAACAGAUAAGGGGGAAAAAAAGGCCUUGGCAGGGCACGAUGGCCCAUGCCUGUAAUCCCAGCACUCUGGGAGGCCUAGGCUGGAGGAUCACUGGAGCCCAGGAGUUUGAGACCACCCUGGGCAACAUCACAAGACCCUGUCUUUACCAUGUCCAGCUAAUUAUGUUUAUAAAUAAAAUUAUAAACAAAAUUAUAAUUACUUAUAAGCAAAAGUAGCUGGGCAUGGUGGCACGUGCCUAUAGUCCCAGCUACUCAGGAGGCUGAGAUGGGAGGAUCACUUGGGCCCAGGAAGUCAAGGCUGAAGUGAGCCAUGAUCGUGCCACUGCACUCCAGCCUGGGUGACAGAGUGAGACCCUGUCUUAAAAAACAAAAAUUAAAAACAGAAGAAAAGACCUUAAUCCCAUGAGCAACUAUAACAAUUAUAAUAGAGGAUACUUUUAUGGCUAUAAUUCUUUGGGAAACUUCUACUGCCAGGUGGCGAAGCAUUGUGAAGUUCUGGAAUUGAACUCUAGGUUGAAAGAUACCUGAAGGAACUCUUGGAGAUCUGUUCUCUUAAUUUAUGGAUGAGGCACAGAAGAUGUCAUUGCUGAAGUCAAGGUCUCACAGCAAGUCAUAAAGGAGCCAGAAUGCAAGGCUCAGUCUGCUGAGUCAUAAUCCACUGACCUCCCUUUGGGUUGCCUGCGCUCAUUUCCUCACUCGCUCCUCAAUUCAGCACACUCCAUCCUUCCUCCAGGAAUACAAUUUUGCCCUCAUCGCGAACCAUCUGUAGUCUCACUCAUUAUUUGGUUAAUUCAGUCAUUUUGCAGCUAUAUAUCCGGAACCCAGCAUGUGCCAGGGGCACGACAGGAACAUGACAGAUCCAGCCCCUGUCCCAAG